rfam:Enterovibrio pacificus strain CAIM 1920 contig041, whole genome shotgun sequence.
CCAAUUCCAACACAAGGUGUUUGGAGCACAUGCACAGCAAGGCGAGGGAGUCUCUGCGCUUGCUGUGCCCGUAGGUACUGGUGAAAUUCGUUACCAGUAGAAGGGCAUUAAUAAUGUGGCCUGUAAGGACGAAAAGUCAGGCGCAUAUUGAGGAACCCAACA